rnacentral:lncRNA from 1 species
GAGACGAAGCAGACUGGAGAACAGAGAGGUGCUUAGCUGAGUGAAAUCUCGAAGCCCACAUGUCCACAUCCAUUUCUCAAGUUUAGUUUUGGUAAGUUGGUAGUCAGAAAGAAUUUGUCAGUUUUUUAUUUUCCGGGAAAAAAAGAGAGAGAAAGUUGAAUUGAAUUCAGAGUACAACCCAAAUGACCAAAGGAAGGGCAGAGGUUAGAUUGAGGAGAGAGAGACCCCUAUUAUAAAUCAGGUGACGAUGAUAUGGGAUGUGUGUGGUAUAU